rnacentral:rRNA from 1 species
GACGAACGCUGGCGGCGUGCUUAACACAUGCAAGUCGAACGGAAAGGCCCCUUUGGGGGUACUCGAGUGGCGAACGGGUGAGUAACACGUGAGUAACCUGCCCUUGACUUCGGGAUAACUUCAGGAAACUGGGGCUAAUACCGGAUAGGAAUCCUUGCUGCAUGGUGGGGGUUGGAAAGCUUCGGCGGUUUUGGAUGGACUCGCGGCUUAUCAGCUUGUUGGUGGGGUGGUGGCUUACCAAGGCUUUGACGGGUAGCCGGCCUGAGAGGGCGACCGGCCACAUUGGGACUGAGAUACGGCCCAGACUCCUACGGGAGGCAGCAGUGGGGAAUAUUGCACAAUGGGCGGAAGCCUGAUGCAGCAACGCCGCGUGCGGGAUGACGGCCUUCGGGUUGUAAACCGCUUUCAGCAGGUGCGAAGCUUGUGGUGACGGUACCCGCAGAAGAAGCACCGGCUAACUACGUG